UACAGAGGUCUCAAGCGUUGUUCGGAUUCAUUGGGCGUAAAGGGUGCGUAGGUGGCGCCGUAAGUCGGGUGUGAAAUUUCGGAGCUUAACUCCGAAACUGCAUUCGAUACUGCGGUGCUUGAGGACUGGAGAGGAGACUGGAAUUCAUGGUGUAGCAGUGAAAUGCGUAGAGAUCAUGAGGAAGACCAGUGGCGAAGGCGGGUCUCUGGACAGUUCCUGACACUGGGGCACGAAGGCCAGGGGAGCAAACGGG
rnacentral:rRNA from 1 species